rnacentral:rRNA from 1 species
AAUGGGCGAAAGCCUGACGGAGCAAUGCCGCGUGUGGGAUGAAGCAUUUCGAUGUGUAAACCACUGUCAGAAUCUAGGAACACUGACCAGAUUCAAAGGAAGGGCCGGCUAAUUCUGUGCCAGCAGCCGCGGUAAUACAGAAGGCCCGAGCGUUAAUCAGAAUCACUGGGCUUAAAGCGUGCGCAGGCUGUCCAGCAAGCAUCCCGUGAAAUCCCUCGGCCCAACCGGGGAACUGCGGGGUGAACUGCUGGACUUGAGAAAGGUAGGGGCUGAUGGAACCAUGAGUGGAGCGGUGAAAUGCGUAGAUAUUCAUGGGAACGCCGAUGGGGAAGCCGAUCAGCUGGGCCUUUUCUGACGCUCAUGCACGAAAGCGUGGGGAGCAAACAGGAUU